rnacentral:rRNA from 1 species
CGGGGUGCACCAGGCGCGAAAACUUUACAAUGCCGGCAACGGCGAUAAGGGGACCUCGAGUGCCAGGUUACAAAUCUGGCUGUCGAGAUGCCUAAAAAGCAUUUCAUAGCAAGGGCCGGGCAAGACCGGUGCCAGCCGCCGCGGUAACACCGGCGGCUCGAGUGGUAACCGUUAUUAUUGGGUCUAAAGGGUCUGUAGCCGGCCGGAUAAGUCUCUUGGGAAAUCCAGCAGCUCAACUGUUGGGCUUUCAGGAGAUACUGUCUGGCUCGAGGCCGGGAGAGGUGAGAGGUACUUCAGGGGUAGGGGUGAAAUCUUGUAAUCCUUGAAGGACCACCAGUGGCGAAGGCGUCUCACCAGAACGGACCUGACGGCAAGGGACGAAAGCUAGGGGCACGAACCGGAUUAGAUACCCGGGUAGUCCUAGCCGUAAACGAUACUCGCUAGGUGUCGGCCACGGUGCGACCGUUGUCGGUGCCGUAGGGAAGCCGUGAAGCGAGCCACCUGGGAAGUACGGCCGCAAGGCUGAAACUUAAAGGAAUUGGCGGGGGAGCACAAGGGCGAAUCGCGGC